CCUACGGGAGGCAGCAGUGGGGAAUAUUGGACAAUGGGGGCAACCCUGAUCCAGCCAUGCCGCGUGUGUGAAUAAGGCCCUCGGGUUGUAAAGCACUUUCAGUGAGGAAGAACGCCUGGUGGUUAAUACCCAUCAGGAAAGACAUCACUCACAGAAGAAGCACCGGCUAACUCCGUGCCAGCAGCCGCGGUAAUACGGAGGGUGCGAGCGUUAAUCGGAAUUACUGGGCGUAAAGCGCGCGUAGGUGGCUGGAUAAGCCGGUUGUGAAAGCCCCGGGCUCAACCUGGGAACGGCAUCCGGAACUGUCAAGCUAGAGUGCAGGAGAGGAAGGUAGAAUUCCCGGUGUAGCGGUGAAAUGCGUAGAGAUCGGGAGGAAUACCAGUGGCGAAGGCGGCCUUCUGGACUGACACUGACACUGAGGUGCGAAAGCGUGGGUAGCAAACAGGAUUAGAUACCCUAGUAGUC
rnacentral:rRNA from 1 species